UCACACCUACAAUCCCUGGCA
rnacentral:miRNA from 2 species